rnacentral:miRNA from 2 species
UGACAGAAGAGAGUGAGCUC